CGUCGGGGACAGCGGAGGGACAUUACCGAGUUAUACAACUCAUCAACCCUGUGAACAUACCUAAAACGUUGCUUCGGCGGGAACAGACGGCCCCGUAACACGGGCCGCCCCCGGCCCAGAGGACCCCCUAACUCUGUUUCUAUAAUGUUUUUUCUGAGUAAACAAGCAAAUAAAUUAAAACUUUCAACAACGGAUCUCUUGGCUCUGGCAUCGAUGAAGAACGCAGCGAAAUGCGAUAAGUAAUGUGAAUUGCAGAAUUCAGUGAAUCAUCGAAUCUUUGAACGCACAUUGCGCCCGCCAGUAUUCUGGCGGGCAUGCCUGUUCGAGCGUCAUUACAACCCUCAGGCCCCCGGGCCUGGCGUUGGGGAUCGGCGGAAGCCCCCUGUGGGCACAACGCCGUCCCCCAAAUACAGUGGCGGUCCCGCCGCAGCUUCCAUUGCGUAGUAGCUAACACCUCGCAACUGGAGAGCGGCGCGGCCACGCCGUAAAACACCCAACUUCUGAAUGUUGACCUCGAAUCAGGUAGGAAUACCCGCUGAACUUAAGCAUAUCAAUAAGCGGAGGAAAAGAAACCAACAGGGAUUGCCCCAGUAACGGCGAGUGAAGCGGCAACAGCUCAAAUUUGAAAUCUGGCUCUCGGGCCCGAGUUGUAAUUUGUAGAGGAUGCUUUUGGUGAGGUGCCUUCCGAGUUCCCUGGAACGGGACGCCAUAGAGGGUGAGAGCCCCGUCUGGUUGGACGCCGAUCCUCUGUAAAGCUCCUUCGACGAGUCGAGUAGUUUGGGAAUGCUGCUCUAAAUGGGAGGUAUAUGUCUUCUAAAGCUAAAUACCGGCCAGAGACCGAUAGCGCACAAGUAGAGUGAUCGAAAGAUGAAAAGAACUUUGAAAAGAGAGUUAAAAAGUACGUGAAAUUGUUGAAAGGGAAGCGCUUGUGACCAGACUUGGGCUUGGUUGAUCAUCCGGGGUUCUCCCCGGUGCACUCUUCCGGCUCAGGCCAGCAUCAGUUCGCCUCGGGGGAUAAAGGCUUCGGGAAUGUGGCUCUCUCCGGGGAGUGUUAUAGCCCGCUGCGUAAUACCCUGUGGCGGACUGAGGUUCGCGCAUCGCAAGGAUGCUGGCGUAAGU
rnacentral:rRNA from 1 species